AUUCAGAGUAAGUAUGUUUUUAUAUUAAUAAAUGUAACAAACUAAUGGAUCGAUUAGUGAGUUGACUGAAUUAACAUGUUUUGUUCUGUAGUGAUCACUGGUUGACAAUUAUGAUUCAUGCCAAUAGUCAAAGUGUUGCAUAUCUUGACUCGACGAAUGACUUUAUCCGAACUGAUAUUAUGAAAUGUAUCCAAAAUGUUGUGGACAUGUACAGGAUCGAAAAAAAAUAUACGAAACAAGGGUCCAGUAAAAAUCAACCAAUACACGUGUCGACAGCAGCCGGAUGGAAUACAAUGUGGUUAUUAUGUUAUGAAGAUUAUCCAGAGUUUCAUGACGGUUGUUAAUCCUGCAAGUUUUUUGAAAAAUCAUUUUAAGUUAGAUGCUCCCUAUAGUAACGAGGAGAUCAAUGCCGUACGGGAUGAGUUGGCCGAAUUCGUGAAGCCUUUGAUUAUAGAUUAAGUACUUAAGGUUACUACACUUUUGAUAUAAUACAUGAGUAGCAAGUUUUAUGAUUAUUGUUAUCUUUUGCAUAUAUUAUUAGUUUAUAUUUAGUUUACGAUAUACAUGGAAUUUAAGUUUUAGAAUCGAUUUUAU